rnacentral:rRNA from 1 species
ACGGGAGGCAGCAGUGGGGAAUAUUGCACAAUGGGGGAAACCCUGAUGCAGCGACGCCGCGUGAAGGAAGAAGGUUUUCGGAUCGUAAACUUCUAUCAGCAGGGAAGAUAGUGACAGUACCUGACUAAGAAGCCCCGGCUAACUACGUGCCAGCAGCCGCGGUAA